ACGGGUGAGUAACACGUAGACAAUCUACCUUCUAGAGGGGGAUAGCCCGCCGAAAGGCGGGGUAAUACCGCGUAAGAUCAAGACCCGGCAUCGGGAUUUGAUGAAACGUCCGCAAGGACGGCUAGAAGAGGAGUCUGCGGCCUAUCAGCUAGUUGGCGGGGUAAUGGCCCACCAAGGCAACGACGGGUAUCCGACCUGAAAGGGUGACCGGACACACUGACACUGAGACACGGGUCAG
rnacentral:rRNA from 1 species